UACAGAGGGUGCGAGCGUUGUUCGGAUUCAUUGGGCGUAAAGGGUGUGUAGGCGGCGCGGUAAGUCGGGUGUGAAAUCUUGGAGCUUAACUCCGAAACUGCAUUCGAUACUGCCGUGCUUGAGGACUGGAGAGGAGACUGGAAUUUACGGUGUAGCGGUGAAAUGCGUAGAUAUCGUAAGGAAGACCAGUGGCGAAGGCGGGUCUCUGGACAGUUCCUGACGCUGAGGCACGAAGGCCAGGGGAGCAAACGGG
rnacentral:rRNA from 1 species